UCUACCUCCUCAGCUGUUACCUGAUUAAGGUUAGGGGGGCCCCGUGCUCCCCCGAGAACACAUGACGCAAGUGCCGUCCCCCGGGGCCGAUGCUGCCCCGGGGGCGCGGUUUGGAAAUCCAAUUUCGAACGGUCGAGGAGAUAAAUCCUUUGCAGAUGACUUAAAUAGGGGAUGGGGUACUGUAAGUGGCAGAGUAGCCUUGCUGCUACGAUCCGCUGAGGUUCAUCCCUCUGUCCCACCGAUUU
rnacentral:ncRNA from 1 species